UAACUGUAAUCUUGCUAUUGUUAUAAAUCAUGAUGUAAAUAUCUGUCUUUUCCAAUGACCUUAGGUGACCCCUGUGAAAGGGUCAUUUGACACUCCCCCAAAGAGGUCACAACCCAGAUUGAGAACCGCUGCUUAGGACUUUCCAGAAAAAAACAGCUGACUAAGGCACGGAGGCUUGUGGGAUAGAAGACCUUGCCAGGAAACUUGGAAGAUACUGAAGGAACCAGCCCAGCGGACCACCAAGAGAUGAGAAGCGGAAAGAAGUCUGGCUUCAGCCCCUCUGCUGAGGCUGCUCUGAACCAUGCAUCCAGUCCCUGACUGUCUUGCCUGACACCAAGUGAGGUUGUCCUCAGGCCUGGUGUGGGCUUAUUUCCG
rnacentral:lncRNA from 1 species